rnacentral:sRNA from 1 species
AUUUUACUUCUAUUUUUUUUUAAAGGUCACGAUAAACUUACCUAUAAUAUAUAAUGGCAAGAUUGGCAGUUUUGGUGAUAUUUGUCUGCUUUAUGGUCAUGGUCAACAGUCAAUCAGGAGGUCAAGGUCCAAUGAACCCGUUGAUGUACAUGAUGAUGAUGAAACAGAUGGACAUGAACCCUUUCUAUAUGUUUCUCAUGAUGAUGUUGAAUCAACAACAGCCUGCAGACCCUGGGGCACAGCCUGCCAUGUAAACCCGCCUGCCUCGUAGUUUCCUUUUUUUUUUGGGGGGGGGGGGUCCUACAUUCUUUAAAUUUUCUCCGUUUUUGAAACUUAAUACAAUAUGACAAUUAUGAUAGCGUAAAAGCUACAAAUUUUUUAAAAAAGUUUCUAGAUAAUGUCUGAACUAUCAAUAGACAUAGGCUUAAUACAAAAAUAUAAUGUUUUUUCUAGAACUAGUCCUAACUAGUGCCAACCUCUGCAAGUAAUCAUUAUGUUCAUUGAAGAAAUAAUGUCUAUUUUUUGGACUGGUUAAUGUUUACCUCUACAUUCAGUGUUUUUUUUAAGUAGAGAGCUAAAAGGGAAACAAAUGGUACAAGUGACACAAUGUUUUCAAGAGGAAUCAAGUAAUAAUUUCCUUCAAACUGGGCAAACCUAAUGUACAUUUUAAAGUUUUUCUAUACAGUAGAGAAGCAACACGUAUUUAUUGAAAUCACACGAUUGUAUUGAAUAUUUUAUGUCUCGUAUAUUUAUCUCCAUUUUCUUGUUUUCAUGUGCAUUAAUUUAUUGUGUAAAGUUUCAUUAGAGUGUAUUCUCAUGUUGCCAUAGAAGAGAUUUCACGUUGCUGUGUCAGAACAUUUGUUUUAUCAUACUAUGUCAUGAAAUACCUCAUGUUUACUUUUACAAACAAAAUAAAACUGUAUUCCUAUGCCAGGCU